rnacentral:rRNA from 1 species
UACAGAGGUCCCAAGCGUUGUUCGGAUUCACUGGGCGUAAAGGGUGCGUAGGUGGUCGGGUAAGUUUAAGGUGGAAGCUCCGGGCUCAACCCGGAAAUGGCCUUGAAUACUAUCCGGCUCGAGGGUUGGAGGGGGGACUGGAAUUCUCGGUGUAGCAGUGAAAUGCGUAGAUAUCGAGAGGAACACCAGUGGCGAAGGCGAGUCCCUGGACAACACCUGACACUGAGGCACGAAAGCUAGGGGAGCAAACGGG